UGUAGCUUGAUCAGUUGGUUAGAGUGCUGCACUGAAAUCACAAGGGCGCAGAUUCGAUUCCUGCCAGCUAUAA